CCCUUAGAUGUUCUGGGCCGCACGCGCGCUACACUGAUGCCUUCAACGAGCCUAGCCUUGACCGAGAGGUCCGGGUAAUCUUUGAAACUGCAUCGUGAUGGGGCUAGAUUAUUGCAAUUAUUAAUCUUCAACGAGGAAUGCCUAGUAAGCGUGAUUCAUCAAAUCGCGUUGAUUACGUCCCUGCCCUUUGUACACACCGCCCGUCGCUCCUACCGAUUGAGUGUGUUGGUGAGGAGUUCGGAUUGGCUCUUAGUGGUGGUUCGCCACCACCUAGAGCUGAGAAGUUCUCCAAACCGCCCCACUUAGAGGAAGGAGAAGUCGUAACA
rnacentral:rRNA from 1 species